rnacentral:lncRNA from 1 species
CUGCUCCGGCAGCCCGGGGCCCCUGCGGACGGCGCGGGGCAGAGUGGGAUGACUUGCCCCUCACCUACUGCCGCCUCCAAGCCGCCCGCGCCCAGCCCAGGGGCCAGCCCAGCGGUGUCAAGGAGGAGGAAGAGGAGGAAGAGGAAGCGGCUGUGGCCCAUCCUACAAGCAAGUCAACGUCGAGUGACCCUGAGGCCCUUCCGGAGACCAAGACGAGACUGUCUCUCAAUGCACAGAAGGGAGAACCAGAUGACGAUGAUGCUGAGUCUGGGAAGCAGGACUCUGACGAGCCCGACACAACGGACAGUGAGGUCGCUGCCCCAUAUGAACACAACAUCCCACAAGAAGCCCAAGCUGAAGAAAAAUAUUUUUGUGCGAAAGACAGAGCUCAUGUGCUGCUAAAGAAGCGAAAAAGAGCACAGGAUGCCUGGACAAAAGCGUCAAAGAAGACGCCGAGAGGAAGAAAGAAAGUCCAAGCCGAAGAGUGCCCAGCUGGGGCACCGGUGACCACCAAGACCCUGGAGAACAGCUCCGCUUCCCAGCACGAUGCCUGCGAGGAGAGCUAACGGCAGGGCGGGAGGAGAAGCCACGGGGGCACGCGGCAGUGCGGAGGAGAGGGCCGGGCUGGCUCGGAGACCUCCCACGCCGGGAGCGCGAUGACUCCUGCGGCGCUGGGCUGGGCGGCGGGGACCUCGCGAGGGUUCAGUGAGGACACUGGGCUGGGCAGCAGGGACCGCGUGAGGACACCCGUCCCGGGUGCUCCUGGAGGAGGCUGGCGGCAUCGGUUAAACCCGACGGCGGUUAAACCCGCGCGGCCCCCUUGCUGGAGCAGGGCCAGGCUGGCGGCUUUCCGUCCCGGCUGAGGGCCGGGGAGACGCGUGUCCCCCCGGGAUGGCGUGGCGCGCAGGCCGGCCGCGGCAGCACCACCACGAGCUUGUUUCCACGUGGAUAAAUCGCUCUGGAAAGACUUUUCUGCUGCGUUAAGGCGGGGCGUGCUCCCCGUCAGCGCCAAGCCACGGGGUCCCGCUGCUGCCYG